rnacentral:lncRNA from 10 species
CUGCCUUUGUUGCUUUGACUCUCCAGAAAGUCUCCCUGGAGCUGGAAAGUGGCAUUACUGAAACAUUCCAGAAACGAGCUGAAGUCACUCAAGGAAGGCCUUGGGAACUAGGGUUUGGCCCGGUGGGCAGCGCAUGGUAGACAUUCACACGCGCUCCAGCACUGAACACUGCGACCUGGCAGGUAAGUACUCAAUCUUUAUGAUGGCGGUAAUGAAGCCCGGUGACACCUCCAGUGCACGCUUCCUUUCUCUGCCCCUGGAACAUCGCUGACGUGCGUGUGAUGCAGAAUCUUUGAAGCGGUAAUUAUGAAAUGUUUGGCACUGGGCUCUCUGCUCUGACCCAGGAAGAGGUGUUAGAGGAAUUCUGUGAAAGGUUUGCAGAGGUCAUUGACCCAGGAUGCUGCUGGAACCCCAAGCAGGAGGGGAGGUCCCAGGAAUAGCACAUCACCUGUCCUGCAUAAAGGGAACCACUGGGAGCCCGCACCAGAAAACACCAUGCGCUUCUUACUCCUGCUGCAAGGGAAGAGGAGAGACCCGGAGAAGGUUGCAACAAGAGCAGCUGAGAUGACCACGAUUAAGGAGAUGUGGCUGCAGAGGUCAGACUCCAAAAGGACUCUCAAAGGGCAGGUGGCAUCUCUACUUAACCAUGAGGGAACAGAGGCUCAGCCAGCACAUUGAGGCACCAGAAUUCAAAAGCCCAGUAUCCUCCCAGGACUCCAUCAAAGCAGAUGUGCAGAGGGCAGUAGGGCCUGAGCCAGAACCAACACCCCUGGGGGAGGCCCAUGAGACCUUUAGGAAAAUGAGACAGGCACAGGAAAGAGAUGUCUAAAGCCACCAUUCUGGGUUUGGGAAUGUAAAGAACUUCAAAUCAGAUAAAUGAAGACUGCAGAAGAAAGAGGAAGAAAUGGAAGUUGCUCUCUGACAGGACAUGAAUUUGGCAAGGGGUGGAUUAGGCCGAGUGCUAUCUGCAGUGAUGAAACGCAGCAGCUGGUGGUCAUGAAAUAGUUAUGAAUGGGGAGAGGACACUGUAUUCUGCAGUGUAGCACAGGGGAAAGCGAAGUUUCAAGAAUACUGUAAUAGCAAAACCCUCCAUUAAUUAUCGGAAGCAAGCUGUAAUGCCAGUUCCUAUGGCAACGGGGUCCCCAAUGGAUUUUGUACUUUUUUUAAAGCUGCU